AGUGAACGCUGGCGGUAGGCCUAACACAUGCAAGUCGAACGGCAGCACAGUAAGAGCUUGCUCUUACGGGUGGCGAGUGGCGGACGGGUGAGGAAUACAUCGGAAUCUACUUUUUCGUGGGGGAUAACGUAGGGAAACUUACGCUAAUACCGCAUACGACCUACGGGUGAAAGCAGGGGAUCUUCGGACCUUGCGCGAUUGAAUGAGCCGAUGUCGGGUUAGCUAGUUGGCGGGGUAAAGGCCCACCAAGGCGACGAUCCGUAGCUGGUCUGAGAGGAUGGUCAGCCACACUGGAACUGAGACACGGACCAGACUCCUACGGGAGGCAGCAGUGGGGAAUAUUGGACAAUGGGCGCAAGCCUGAUCCAGCCAUACCGCGUGGGUGAAGAAGGCCUUCGGGUUGUAAAGCCCUUUUGUUGGGAAAGAAAAGCAGCAGGUUAAUACCCCGCUGUUCUGACGGUACCCAAAGAAUAAGCACCGGCUAACUUCGUG
rnacentral:rRNA from 1 species